rnacentral:lncRNA from 1 species
GGUGGAGCCAUUCCCGAGGCCGGGAGGGUGCCUCUGCCUCUGGGGGUGCUUGCAGCUGUAGGAGCUCCCAUGGCAGGGCGUGCGCCUGCUGCGGUGUGGGUGACUGGGUCCUCAGGAGCAGAAGCGGACUUGGGUGUCUCAGGUCUGACCGUGCUGAGGAGACAGUCCACAGGGGGAGUGGGGGCUUCAGAGGAUGAGACAGGAGGUGGGAAUAUUUUGGGACUGGCCGGGGGCAGCCAGGCUGUGGGGACAUCUCACACCUGUGUGCCUGGGGCCAGGUUAUGGAGCUGUCCAAGGUCUGUGGGGGAAGAAACAGCCUAUGAGAAUGCUCUAGGCAUGUCAGGGACAAGAACAGCUGUGGGGGUACCCUCAGUUUCAAGGGAGGAAAUAGGCCUUGGCCAUUUCAGAGACCACCUACAGCCAAGUGGGAGGAGGCUGGCUGGGGGAUUGUCUGCAGUCAGAGUGAGAGGGAGCAAUUUGGGAGAGAGUUAUGUGGGGGAGGCUAGAUUGAGGGGGGCGUUCCAGUAGUGUGUGUAGGGAAGAAGUUGGGGCUGUGUGGGAGGAAACAGGUUCGGGGUAGGUUUGUCAUGGGUUGCGGAUGAAGGCACAGGCUGUAAGGGCAUCUCAACAUGGGGGAGAGAGGGUUUUCGUGGAGAUGCCCCAGGGUAUGUAGAGGGACAAAUUGGGACGUUUCCUGGAGCAGUGGGAAAGGGCCAGAUUGCAAGGAGAGUCCCAGAACUUUGUACAGGGGGACAGUUUAGGGGUGGGUGUCCCUGGACUUUGUGCGUGUGUGUGUAUGUGUGUGUGUAGCAUCACUUGAGGCAUGCUGGAACUGUGGGGAUCACCUAGUUUUUUUCUAGUGGAGAAUGGACUAUUUGGCCCUUGGCACCUAGAAGCAGCCAGGAGGGAAGUACUGACCAUUUAAAAGUGGCAGAUCUCCGGGCCCCAUUUCUGCAGCCUUCAUUCUGCAACUCCAGCCACCCACCUGUGCCAACGUCAAGCCAGUUGGGAUUGCCUUGCUCAUGUGCCUCCUCCCAUCUGCUUUUUUCACCGUGUGUCUACAGCCUUAGAAAUAAGGACUCUUAGACAGCUGUCUUUAUGUUCCCAAGAAGUAUCUGUCUUUAAGCAAAUCUAGUCUGCAAAUUUUGGAUUUAUUCAAAAGCUUAAAUUAGGGUUUUUUUUUAAUAAACCUUGAAUUUCCCAAUUGAUUUACUGUAGGAUUUUUUGAGAGAACAAAUUCCCCAGAGAUUUAAAACUAGUCAGUUCACAGAAAAUCAGCUUAACUCAACAAAUGCUAAAUUGUGUACUAUGCUCAGAGCACUUUGUAAUGGGAAAUAGAAGAGCAGGACAAGGCCCUUCCCCUCAAGUCGCCUUGUCUGGCUGGGAAGAUGAGACAUGUGAAAUAGAGGAAUGGUUUUAGGGAAGACUGUUGCCGGAUGACAAGGCUGUCACUAUUGUUCUGUACUACCUGACAUUAUGGGACCAGGCCAGCCAGCUUCAACCUGUGUUCAUCUAGCACCUAGGACCCAACUUGAUGGGAGGAGCGACCCCAAAGUACUUCAGACCCAGAACCAGCUGCAGUUUAAUAGGAAUGUUCCUACACAUUCAAGCAACUUGGCGAUCCGAUAUUCUUGCCCACAUGCCAUUAGAAUUGAAAAACUGAAGCACUCAUACAAUGAAUCAUACCAUUGUAAAGAUGCAGAUUGUAGAGUUGGUCCUGACCUAGGCAGUUCUGUUUCAUUUUCCGUCAUAUCCCAAGAGAGACUUAGCUAUGCUGUCCACCUAGCCAGAAGAGAUGUGAAACGAAGACAAUUUGAAAAACAUAUAAAAGAACAUCAUCUCAGAAGUCAGCCUCAAAGCUCUCAGAAGUGUGGACAUACUAAGUAUAAAAUACCCGACCACAGGGUGGAAAGGAAGGAAUCAAAGAGUCAAGCAGCCUGUCAGUGCAGCCACCAGCCAUCCAAAGUAGAAAUCUCCAGCUCCGGUGCCAAAGUAUACCUUUACUCAUCUCAUCCAGGCCAGUCAGAUCUUACUGUGCCAAAUUCGCCACCCACCCAUGAUCCGGGACUUCAGCCUCAUCCCAGGAUAGGUGACCACAAAAACAUAAGUGAACAGAAAAGCCUGCUAGAAGUCCAGCGACUCCAGAAAGAACUGAGUAGUUGUAUCCACAAAAUUGAAGAGGUAACUAAAAAAGUGUCAGCCUGUGGCAUGGACCCCUACCUACUUUGAUUGGAAGCCCUGCGACGAGGGGAACAAAGCCACAAGGCCCACUGCUCUGGUGAUCUGGCCUAAUACCGGGGAACUGUUAGAACAGAGCUUUCAAAGUCUCUGUGGGGAAGGACUGGGUUGGUUUAUUUUAUUUACAUGAAUUUUCAGUGUGUCAUAAGUCAAUACUUUGUGAACUAUAAUAAAAAUG